GGAAAUUAGGCCUCUCCCUGCUCUGGUGUCACAGAGAGGGGGAAAUCUGGCCUCUCACUGCUGUUGUAUCUGUGAGGGCGUAACACUGGGGCUGUCAUUGUUGUGGUGUCCCAGAGAGGAUUAAAUUGGAGCUCACACUUCUAUGGUGUCCUAGACAGUGGAACACUGGGCCUGACAUUGGUGUGGUGUAACAGAGAGGAGGCAAUUUGGGGCUGUCAUUACUGUGAUUUCACAGAGAGGGGAAGAGUCGGGCUGUCACUGCUGUGGUUUCAGCGAGAGAGUGAAAUGGAGGUAGUUAGAGCUGUGAUGUUACAGACAGGGGAAUCCUGGGACUCGGAGUGCACUGCUGUCACCGAGAGCGGAACUUUGGGGCUCUCACUGCUGUGGUGUCACAGAGAGAGAAACAGCGGUGUUGUCGCUGCUGUGGUGUCAGAGAGUGGAACACUGGGCCUGACAUUGGUGUGGUUUCACAGAGAGGAGGCAAUUUUGGCUCUCACCUCUCUGGUUUCACAGAGAGGGCAACUUUUUGGCUGUCCCUGCUGUGGUGUCACGGAGACGGGAAUAUUGGAGCUGUCACUGCUGUGGUGUCUGAGAGAGGGAAACACUGGGCCUGUCAUUGCUGUGCUGUCAUGGAGAGGAGCACGUUGGAGCUCACACUGCUAUGAUGUCACAGGUAGGGUAACAGUGGCUCUGACAUUGCUGUGGUGUCCCAGAGAAGAGGAAAUUUGGGCCCUCACUGCUCUGGUGUCACAGAGAGGGGUAAAGUUGGGCUCUAACUGCUAUGGUGUCUCCAACAGGGUAAUCCUGGGCCUAAAAUUGCUGUCGUUUCACAGACAGGAGCAAUUUUGGGCUGUGGCUGCACUGCUGUCUCAGAGAGUGGAACUUUGGGGCUCAUACUGCUCUGGUGUCCCAGAGACGGGAACAUUGGAGCUGUCACUGCUGUGUUGUCACAGAGAGAGAGGAACACUGGAGCUCUCCCUGUUCUGGAGUCGUGGAGAGGAGGAAAUUGGGCAUGUCACUGCCCUGGUGUCACAGGGAAUGGAAGAGUGGGGCUGUCACUGCCGUGGAGUCAGAGAAAGGAGGAAAUUUGGUGUGUGACUGCACUGCGGUCACAGCGAGUGGAACUUUGG
ensembl:lncRNA